GGAAAGGAAAGGAAAGGAAAGGAAAGGAAAGGAAAGGAAAGGAAAGGAAAGGAAAGGAAAGGAAAGGAAAGGAAAGGAAAGGAAAGGAAAGGAAAAUGUGCUGUUUCUUCACUUUUCUGCACAACUGAUAGCAAAUAUGCUGUAUGAGAGCAUUGCAAGGAUAAUGAGAGGGAGGUUACAUGUGUGUGAGCCGAUGGAUGGAAGGAAGCCGAAGAUAAUGAAUCAAUAAAUCGUAUUUUCUGUAAUUUUUCAUCUGUCCAUAACUAUUGCAUCUGCGCUGGCCAACUUCCCAAAGACAAAAUGCGGCAUCUGCAGUUAGUGCUGAAGCGGCCACGUACGUGGUGUCGCCUUCCACCAGUAACAUGUGGAAGAGAUUAGAUAAGCGAGGUGGCUCCUGCUGUGGGGAGUUAUUCCCGCUCCGGAGCCCUGGAAGGUACGCUGCUUCUCACACGCCGGUGUGAGCGCUGCUUGAGGCGUCUAGGGAAGUCGCUUUAUCAAAAAGCAAUGCACAUCACCACAGCCGUAUGGCUGAUUUCAAGUCAAAAUCGCCCCUCCGCUCCUGUUUAGGCUUUAGGUAGCAUCAGAGCAAGCAGCAGCCGGCGAUUGUGCUUUUAUCUUUGAUGCGAGUUUCUGGCGAGCAAAGCGGGAAGCCAGAAAGCCAAACAGCUCGGCCCGAGCCGCACGAAACUUGCUUAUCGGUAGCCGCGCGGUGCGUGCGCUUCAUUCCUGGCCUUUUGGGGUAAUUAUUAUGCUUAUUUUUUUUUUUCCUUUUUUUCAAUGGGAAGGCCCCCGCGGGCUCCCCGCCCGCCGCCCCGCCGGCAGGGGCCCGGAGGAGCGAAGGAGUUAAAGGGAGGCGCUUGGGAAAUCCGAUGCUGAGGAGCCCCAGGAAUGCUGCCCCUUCCCACUCCCCUCCGGCUCUCGGAGCAGCUCAGUCCCCGCCGCCGAGCCCCGAGGCCGCGCACACUCGCUCCGGGCUCUGCCCCGCAGGCGCUGCCGGAGAUGCCGGGCAGGAGGCGGUGGUGGGCACGCUGCUGGCUGGGCGUCUGCCUCUCGCUGCUGGGCGCCGGGGGCUGCAGCGGCGGCGGCUCCGAGCCCUGCCGGCUGCCCCCCUGCGGCGGCGAGGCUCCCCCGCCGCCCUGCCGCGGGGCCCGCUGCGGAGCCCGUGCCGGCCGGCCCGCCCGCUCCUUCCCGCACACCGCCACGCCGCUGCGGGCCCCGCAGGGCAAGGCGCAGCCCCCCGCAGCCAGGGGGGUCCCUCCGGAGGCCUGCCCGGCCGGGGGCUGCUCCUCCAACGGCACCCGCCGCGACUGCCAGGGCCUGGAGUGCCGCCUGCCGCUCCGCCUGCGGCCGCGGCCCCGCGGCCCCGCCGGCUGCGCCGCCUCCGCCACCGCCGAGGGCUGCCCCGAGCCCGCCCUGCUCCGCGCCGCCGAGAGGGCCGCCCAGUUCGCCGGGGACGACUUCGCCUACGGCGGGCCCGAGCUGGGCGGAGGCGGCGCCCUGGGGGUGCAGCUGGCCUGCGACGUGAAGCCAGGCAUGGUGCCAGAUGAAGUCUGGGAGGAACAGCAGUAUCAUUUUUCCCUUCAAGUUCUUCAGGUCAUCAAGAAUGGAUUAUACUUAUGGCCAACAGCUGUCAUGGAUUUUUGCAUUCACCUCCUUCACGUGCCUCACUGGACCCAGCCAUUCUCACCUGUGGCAGAGACAAGCAUCCUGUAUGCUGGAGGGAAAACGGUGAACAGCAUUGCCCACUAA
ensembl:lncRNA